rnacentral:lncRNA from 1 species
GUUCGGUCCUACGGCAAUAAUCAGAGCUAAUUCAAUUGUAAGACAAUAGUCAAAGCAAGAUAUGAUCUGAAGAGGUAUAAAAGGUGGAAGAAUAUUUCUCCGUAAUUGUAGCAGAAAACUCCAGGCUAGAAGAUCUGUUGAAUGUGCAGUUUGCAAUUUAUGUGAUACUUUAGAUUCAAGAUAAAAAAUAAAUAUCUAUUGAGACAAUAUGAGUCGAAAAAAAUGACUAUACAAGCAAAGAAGACAAGA